UUUUCUUGAAUAUUCCUCACCUCAUUAUAAAAUAGAAAACCAAACCAGUGUUUAUAACAGAGAGCACUGAAAGAAUUUGAUUUACUUGUUAUCUUUGGAUUUUUUUUCAUGUCUUCUAACACUCCUUUUUUACUCAGAAAAAUUCGUAAUGCUUGGAAAAACUUAACCCCUCCAAUACCUCAAUGUCAAAUCCCAAUAUCUUCUUCACCUAGCAGUGUUACCAGAAUUAGGUCCUUGGCAUUUGUUUUGCCUCAAAACCAUGAUUCUGAGCACUUGCCACUAUAUUUAAAUGCUAUUGAAAUCGAAAAACAGGACUACCUCCCCAGGAGUCCCUUCACUAUACCAACAAAAAUUGUUAGUCUCACUUUUCAGGCUGCUUUAGGGUAUCAGGCAAUGUCUACAUCCCAUUAUCAACCUUCCAUUCUAGGAGCUUCUAUGGUGAUUGCUUUUGCAGCAUCAUUCUCUGCAUUGUUCAUCAAAUAUUCCUACCCAAGGCUUGCAGCAAUAGUUGAGAAAAUUGGGUAUCUCUCUUUUGCACUCAGUUUCUUUUUAAUGUCACAAGUUUUCUUCUCAGGGACUUUAAUCAUGUGGAUCAUCAUAGGAGGGCUGGCUUUAGCCAUCUUAGCCUCCCUCCUUAUGUGAAGCCUCUCUGUAGUGAUCCCCACUCACAAAAUCUCCGAACUAAGUUAAUGAUCUAUUAUGCAUCACAAGUGCUAUUGCAAUGCAAUGGUUCCACAAUUGUGGUCACAAAAAGUAUCUUCCACAAUAUACUCAUAUCUUUGAUGAUCACAACGCAACCGCAAUUGCGAUUUAAAAUUUAACAUGCGAGUAUCAUUCUACAAGGUUCAAGGGACUUUGUUUUCUACUAUUUUAGCCAUCAAUGUGAUGGCAUAUGCUACAUCUACUUCCUUAUCCAUCUUUUGUCACAGCAUAAUAAGAUACCUUGCAGUCUCUCUGAUUAAACCUUGAAUCCGGCUAAUCAGAAACCUAUGUCUAUGGCUCUUACCUGAUAACUCUUAUCCAGUGUGUGUUUGUGCUGACCGCACAUGAACAAAACUGAGCCUAUUUCAAUGGUUUAUAGUCUGUCAUCUUUCCACCUUAAUAUGGUUCACACAGCAGAAGAAACUACAAUAGCCUACAUUUGGCUCUUUCUCAGAAAAUACAACUAUUUAUACCUAGUCGAAAACUCGAAAUGGAUCUUAUAGCUGGUGGAAGCCUGGAAACAUUCAACAGCAACCUCAGCUUGUCUUCAACCACAUAGUGAUCGUUUAGUCCUAAUCGAGCAACUACUACUUAUUAGGUAGAUCUUCUCAAUGAUCUACUGCAUCUAAGAACGUAGAAACUUGCGGAGCAUCUGAACUAUCUAUUGGCGAAUACAGUUCUGGAAGAGAAAUUUCAGUAUUUCACUGGGACAUUUGUUGAUCUGAGAAUUUUAUGAAGAGGUUAUUUUAGAUUCAUUGUUAAUAUAAAAGUUUUACAUUACCUUCUAAUCACGUUUUGCUAUGUGAUAUGUGCUUAAACGUGAUUGAAUGGUUUAGCAAAAAAACUAGAUUAACGAUAAGUUAAAAUUACAUCCUUUUGUUAAUUAGUUGAAGCUGCAAAGGAAUGGCCACAUUUAGAGCGUGCUUAAUAGAAGUUUGAAUAGAACAAAUAAAAUUGGAGUGAAAUUUGAGGGAUGGACUACAUGUAAAUUGUAAUGUAAGUUCCUUAAAAUUUUCAUUUCACCCAUUUUUAAACAUAUGCUACCCUUGAAUAUGUAAACGAGUGCCACUAUGAACUUAUCAAGAUUGUGUCCAGUGUUUGUAAAAUAUAUGAUAUAUGAUUAGUAUCUCAA